GCGGAGGAGAGAGACGGCGUUCCCAGCAAGGAGAGCGGUCUGGAAGUUAUUGAGAUGAUCCAGAAAAGGAUUGCUCAAGGUCGGACUUCAGUAGUGUCAAACAAAGGGAGAUGAACAGAUGGACUGAAGAGAUAGCGGGAGACCUUCCCCAGGCCAUCAACCAAGACUUAGUCAUCUCCCCACCCCCAGCAAACACCACUGCACAUCCAGACUCGUUCUAAAGGCUGGUGGGUUGAAUAGGAGACUGAACAAGACCGAGGUCAGUUGCCAUGUAUGUCAUAAGGACACCCAGUCAGCCCUGUGGUGACGUGUACGUGGUGAAGAACCGUGUCCUCUGACCUACAGCGGUGCCAGUUUGCCCACACCGGAGCGGGCCGCCUUGGAAGCAGAUCCCUUACCCUGCGGAACCUUCAGAGGACGGCGGCCUCAGCACCGUGACUGCAGUGUCUUCAGGAGACCCUGAGCCCAGAAUCACCCGGACAGGCUGCUUCGGAUUUCCUGACCCACAGAAACCAUGGGAUAAGAAAGAGAAAAGCUGACCUGCAAUGAAUUUCUCAUAAGAGUGAGAAAGCAUAAACCUGAGAAGCUUCCAGCAAACUUCUUCCACUUCAUUAGACAUAAUUGGGUCACCCAUAACAGGUCACUGUCAGAAGAACGGAACCAUGUAUAUACCAAUCUCCUCCCUGGAGAAAAAGUCAGUUUUCCAAAUGCAUUUGAAUAAAAUGGAUAUGGUUGAGUCACCCAGGGUUUAUGACCUUGGCCACAUCUGCCCCUCAUGCCCUUUCACAGAGGCAAGCACUAUGGCCAGUUUCCUGUGCAUCCUUCUAAAGAUAUUUUAUGCAUGUUCAUUUUUAGAAACCCUCUAUUUCUAGUCUCUUUUUAGAGAAAUGGUAGCAUAGCAUAGUAUACACACUGUCUUACAUUUUGCUUUUUUGUGUAGUACAUUAUUGGUAAAUGUUUGAUAAAUGGUUAAGAACUAUAUUUUGUAAGCCAGAUGGUUUCUGUCCUAAUUAUUCACUUUCCUUAUUUGCCUUUUGUACUUCAGGAGCAUUAAACUCUUUUUUUUUUUUUUUAAAGUUCUAGCCAAUUUCUACUGGGCCAAGGGGGAAAUAGGGGAGUUUUUGGCUAGACUGAGGCCUGAGUGUUAAAUGGAGUCAGUGGACGCUGGGUGUCAGUAUGAUAGUGGGGGCAGGAAGGAAGAAGAUCCCAGGGGUCAGACAAAGUAAUAUAACAGGACAGCAACAGUGAUAGCACAUGUAUGUUGAGUGCCUCCUGUGUUCAUGUUGUGCUAAACAUACACUCAGUGAGAAUCAGAUAAGGUCUGCUUGAUUAGCUGUCUCUUCACAUGUAAAGAUUCACCUUCAAAUGAUAACGCGUGUGUUGGUGUUUUAAUAAUGGAAGUUAUUCUUGCUAAGUAAAGGCAUUAAGAAUGUUGUCAGUGCGAAGGAGAGACGCAGCAUGAUGACGGAGGACGUGGAUCGUGGAGUCUAACGAGCCUGAACUGGAAUCCUGCCUCUGCUUCUCACUGCUGUCACCAGGAUGACUGGACACUACAA